rnacentral:rRNA from 1 species
CCUACGGGUGGCAGCAGUGAGGAAUAUUGGUCAAUGGACGCAAGUCUGAACCAGCCAUGCCGCGUGCAGGAAGAAGGCUCUAGGAGUGGUAAACUGCUUUUGUACGAGGGAAAACGCAGAUACGCGUAUCUGUCUGAAAGUAUCGUACGAAUAAGGAUAGGCCAAAUCCGUGCCAGCAGCCGCGGUAAUACAGAAGAUUCAAGCGUUAUCCGGAUUUAUUGGGUUUAAAGGGUGCGUAGGCGGUUGGAUAAGUUAGAGGUGAAAUCCCGGGGCUCAACUUCGAGAUUGCCUUUGAUACUGGUGGACUAGAGUGAAGUAGAGGUAGGCGGAAGGUUUGGUGUAGCGGUGAAAUGCUUAGAGAU